AUUGAACGCUGGCGGCAGGCCUAACACAUGCAAGUCGAGCGGAUGAAGGGAGCUUGCUCCUGGAUUCAGCGGCGGACGGGUGAGUAAUGCCUAGGAAUCUGCCUGGUAGUGGGGGAUAACGUCCGGAAACGGGCGCUAAUACCGCAUACGUCCUGAGGGAGAAAGUGGGGGAUCUUCGGACCUCACGCUAUCAGAUGAGCCUAGGUCGGAUUAGCUAGUUGGUGGGAUAAAGGCCUACCAAGGCGACGAUCCGUAACUGGUCUGAGAGGAUGAUCAGUCACACUGGAACUGAGACACGGUCCAGACUCCUACGGGAGGCAGCAGUGGGGAAUAUUGGACCAUGGGCGAAAGCCUGAUCCAGCCAUGCCGCGUGUGUGAAGAAGGUCUUCGGAUUGUAAAGCACUUUAAGUUGGGAGGAAGGGCAGUAAGUUAAUACCUUGCUGUUUUGACGUUACCAACAGAAUAAGCACCGGCUAACUUCGUG
rnacentral:rRNA from 1 species